GAUGAACGCUGGCGGCGUGCCUAAUACAUGCAAGUCGAGCGAACGGACGAGAAGCUUGCUUCUCUGAUGUUAGCGGCGGACGGGUGAGUAACACGUGGAUAACCUACCUAUAAGACUGGGAUAACUUCGGGAAACCGGAGCUAAUACCGGAUAAUAUUUUGAACCGCAUGGUUCAAAAGUGAAAGGCGGUCUUGCUGUCACUUAUAGAUGGAUCCGCGCUGCAUUAGCUAGUUGGUAAGGUAACGGCUUACCAAGGCAACGAUGCAUAGCCGACCUGAGAGGGUGAGCGGCAACAGUGGAAAUGAGAAAAGGGCCAGAGUACGACGGGAGGCAGCAGUAGGGGAGAGUGAGCAAGGGGUGAAAGCCGGACGGAGCAAUGCAGAGGGAAGGAUGAAGGUAUUAGGAUCGUAAAACGUGUUUAUGAUGGAAGAAAAAAAGGCUAAGGAAACAGGCAAGCCUGGAAGGGACCGAAUAAGAAAGCCACGGCGAACGAAGGG
rnacentral:rRNA from 1 species